rnacentral:rRNA from 1 species
CGAACGGGUGAGUAAGACAUCGGAACGUAUCCGCUCGUGGGGGACAACUUCCCGAAAGGGGGGCUAAUACCGCAUGAGAUCCGAGGAUGAAAGAGGGGGACCCGCGAGGGCCUCUCGCGAGCGGAGCGGCCGAUGACUGAUUAGCUAGUUGGUAAGGUAAAGGCUUACCAAGGCGACGAUCAGUAGCUGGUCUGAGAGGACGACCAGCCACACUGGGACUGAGACACGGCCCAG